GCCGGGCGUAGUGGCCCAUGCCUGUAGUCCCAGCAGCUCAGGAGGCUGAGGCCAGAGGAUCACAAAUUCUAAGCCAGCCUCAGCAAAAAAGCGAAACACUAAGCAACUCGGUGAGACCCUGUCUCUA
rnacentral:sRNA from 1 species